rnacentral:misc_RNA from 1 species
CUCUCUCUCUCUCUCUCUCUCAGUGUUUUAAAGGUGUUGAGGUGAGGCAACCCUCUAGUGCCUCGCCUGGGCUUGCUUCCAGAAGGAGGCCACCUCAAACUGCAAGGCACUGAGUGAUGAGGCGACACCUUUGAGAAGGAACAGUAACUUCUUGGUCUUUUUUCUUCUUUUAAUUAUUUUUUAACAGAACAAAAAAAUUAGGCAAUUUAGGCUAUGGCGCCUUCCUUUUGGACUGCCAAUGGUGCUGGUUGAGGAUCUCAGUCCUUUUGUUCUGUUUAUUAUUUCUGAUAUAUAUGUACACAUUAGGCAAUUUAGGCUAUAGCGUGUUGCUUUAAAAAGGCUCUCGCAUCGCCUCUCGCAUAAGGCCAUAGGGUAUCUUGUCACGUUUCACCUUGAUAACACUGCAGCCCACUCCCCCAACCCAACCAAAAAAAAAAAAAUCCACUUGGGUAUUUCACAGUCAAAAAUACACCCUCCCCCCCCAACCACCCCAUUUGGGUUGCUAAGGCCUGCUAUUUUUUUUUUAUAUUUUUUUUAAUUUUAAUUUUGCCUUGGGUGGUCCUAUGAAUAAUUCUUCUCCACCUUCAUGCUUCCUUUGUCUGCUAUUUGUUGCUUCUAUGUUGGUGGUGUUGUUAAGUCCAUAGGCAGAGGCAUAUUAACCAAACCCAAAACAAAAUCAAUCUCAUUAUUGGCUGAAUUAAGAUUUAAUUAAUAACUUAGGCUUUGCUUCUCUCUCACUUUUUUCUUUUUUCUUUUUUUU